rnacentral:lncRNA from 1 species
AACUAAUAGUAAGAACAUCAUAAUAUUCAGUAUGCUAAAAAGAAGUGUUAUGAAAGCGGCAGGGGCGGGUCCAGCCAUUUUAAAAAGGGGGUCCUAACCCUGGACAAAAGGGGAGGGGGUUCCAACUACAUGUCCCCAUCCAAAUGCACUGAUCGUCCAAAAAAGGGGGUCCAUCCCCCUGAACCCCCGCCCCCUGGAUCCGCCACUGAGCGGGUACGGUAUUUAGCUCAAUACAUUUUUUAUAGUUUC